rnacentral:lncRNA from 1 species
GCUAGUUCGAUAUACACUCAGUAUAAAUCCAAAUAACCAUUCUUGGUUAAUUAUCCAGGCAGAUAUUUACUUUGCAACGAAUCAGUAUUCAGCAGCUCUUCACUAUUACCUCCAGGCAGGAGCUGUGUGUUCUGACUUCUUUAACAAGGCUGUGCCCCCUGAUGUUUAUACAGACCAGGUAAUAAAACGAAUGAUAAAAUGUUGUUCUUUGCUGAAUUGCCACACACAGGUGGCCAUUUUAUGUCAGUUCCUCAGAGAAAUUGACUACAAAACAGCGUUUAAAUCUCUGCAAGAACAAAACAGGUAUGAAUAAUAUUUUAAAAAUAAUGAGGUCAACAUUUUUCUGCUUAAGAAGUAACUGAAUUCUGUCUUUCAGUCAUGAUGCUAUGGACUCCUACUACGACUACAUAUGGGAUGUUACCAUUUUGGAAUACUUGACUUAUCUUCAUCAUAAAAGAGGAGAAACAGAUAAAAGACAAAUUGCAAUCAAAGCCAUCGGCCAGACAGAGUUGAAUGCAAGCAAUCCAGAAGAAGUGUUACAGCUGGCAGCGCAGAGAAGGAAAAAAAAGUUUCUCCAAGCAAUGGCAAAACUUUACUUUUAAGCAGUUAAAUUUUUUUAACUUUUAUUUUUUAAACAAUGGGCUAAAAAUAAACAGUAUUAAAAGGUUAAG